GACGAACGCUGGCGGCGUGCUUAACACAUGCAAGUCGAACGGAAAGGCCCUGCUUUUGUGGGGUGCUCGAGUGGCGAACGGGUGAGUAACACGUGAGUAACCUGCCCUUGACUUUGGGAUAACUUCAGGAAACUGGGGCUAAUACCGGAUAGGAGCUCCUGCUGCAUGGUGGGGGUUGGAAAGUUUCGGCGGUUGGGGAUGGACUCGCGGCUUAUCAGCUUGUUGGUGGGGUAGUGGCUUACCAAGGCUUUGACGGGUAGCGGGCGUGAGGGGGUGACCGGCCACAUUGGGACUGAGAUAGGCCCCAGACUCCUAGGGGAGGCAGCAGUGGGAAAUUUGGCACAAGGGGCGGAAGCCGGAUGCAGCAACGCCGCGGGCGGGGUGACGGCCUUCGGUUUGUAAACCGCUUUCGCCUGUGACGAAGCGUUAGUGACGGUAAUGGGUAAAGAAGCACCGGCUAACUACGUG
rnacentral:rRNA from 1 species